AACUUUAUAUUCAAUAAUGAUAUUAGAUUGCAAUUCUAAAGGAAUAACUUAAAGAGUUAUUAAAGUUU
rnacentral:tRNA from 1 species